CCUGAUCACACUUCCUAGGAUCGCAUUUGUCUUUUUUCACAGCCGCAUCUCAUUGGUGGCUCAUAGUCAUCUUGCGAUUGACCCACACAUCCAGGUCUC